UCGUGUGAAUUAAUCAAGUCAAUAAGUGGAUACAACAGGCAACUUAAUUAAAAAGUGUGCUAUCUACUGUCCGCAUCAUAUUUGUUUCACAUGCUGCGGCUUGUAACAGGCACAACCAAUAAGAAUUGGCUAUAAUAAA